CAGAAAUGCUUUGGCGAGAGUAGUCCAGACCAGGUCUCCUUCUCUUCUCUUCUCGUUUUCUGUUCUUGUUCCAUCAACGAAUCGACGACAAUCCUCCCGCAAAUGGCGCAGAGUAUCAACCAGGAUUGUGUAUGCCAGAUGUGUGGGGUUGAAGGCUAUAAGGAAGUUCUAGUUCAUUGCUCUUCCUGUGGUGCUUAUGAACAUAUGUAUUGCAUGAAAAAAGACAUAGUGGAAGUACCAAAAGAAUGGAAAUGUGAUGACUGUCAAACAAAAACUCAAGGUUGGUGGUGUCUGUUUCUGUCAUGGGUAGUUAUUUGAAAAUGAUUUGGUAAAAAUAUCAUAUUUAAAAUGAGUAAUGGUUUGUAUUAUCUGGUUUAUUUGGAUUAAACUAAUACUCCAUCGUCAAUCACUUAUCGAAUAUUGUAACUCUGGAUUAUUUGGUUUAUUUGGAUUAAACUAA